rnacentral:pre_miRNA from 14 species
UUCUAUCUCAUGAUAAGGAGUGAAAGACCCCCGGAGCGGGGAGACCCUCACUCAAGUCUCAGGAUGAUGCGACCCCCCAAGAACUCACGUGAGACC